AGAGUUUGAUUAUGGCUCAGGAUGAACGCUAGCUACAGGCUUAACACAUGCAAGUCGAGGGGCAGCAUUGGAGUAGCAAUACUUCAGAUGGCGACCGGCGCACGGGUGAGUAACACGUAUCCAACCUGCCGCUUACUCGGGGAUAGCCUUUCGAAAGAAAGAUUAAUACCCGAUGGUAUAAAGAGUUCGCAUGUUCUCUUUAUUAAAGAAUUUCGGUAAGCGAUGGGGAUGCGUUCCAUUAGAUAGUUGGCGGGGUAACGGCCCACCAAGUCUACGAUGGAUAGGGGUUCUGAGAGGAAGGUCCCCCACAUUGGAACUGAGACACGGUCCAAACUCCUACGGGAGGCAGCAGUGAGGAAUAUUGGUCAAUGGACGAGAGUCUGAACCAGCCAAGUAGCGUGAAGGAUGACUGCCCUAUGGGUUGUAAACUUCUUCUAUAAGGGAAUAAAGUGAGGGACGUGUCCCUUUUUGUAUGUACCUUAUGAAUAAGGAUCGGCUAACUCCGUGCCAGCCGCUGC
rnacentral:rRNA from 1 species